rnacentral:rRNA from 1 species
UACGUAGGGGGCAAGCGUUGUCCGGAAUUAUUGGGCGUAAAGAGCGUGUAGGCGGUCCGGUAAGUCAGCUGUGAAAGUCAAGGGCUCAACCCUUGAAUGCCGGUUGAUACUGUCGGGCUAGAGUCCGGAAGAGGCGAGUGGAAUUCCCGGUGUAGCGGUGAAAUGCGCAGAUAUCGUGAGGAACACCAAUGGCGAAGGCAGCUCGCUGGGACGGUACUGACGCUGAGACGCGAAAGCGUGGGGAGCAAACAGG